AUGUGAGUAAAGGAGAAAUAGGGAGUUUUUUCUAGAUAUGUCAUUCCUGCAUUGUGAAUUCACAAAGUACAUGUCUUCCUGACUACUUAUGCUGAAGAAAUCAAUGUUGCCAAUUAAAUCUACUAACUUGUGUUCAAUUUAUUUAACCACACAGUGUAGUUUUUCCCCUCCAUAGCCUUUUUAAACCUCCCAUGGAACUAAUAUCAUGCAGAACCUAUUCUGUAACAUGCUGAUCUGAAGAUUUUCCAAAUGUGUAACUUACUUAAGUUUGUGGAGGCAUCAGAUCCCUUUGGGCAUGUGAUAUAUCUUGCAACAAGUUGCUGUGGCCAAGUUCAAAAAGGUUGUUGCCUGUGUUCUGCUUCUUCAAAUCUCACCACCAACAGAAACCAAUUACUGGCUAAAAGAAAACAUUCCCUCAUAAAGGGAAUGAGAAAAUGUCAUGGCUCAAAGAAGAAACUUUUAGGAUCACUUGCUGUUAAAUGAUAAUCAAAAUGAGAGAUCAGGGAUAAGGAUGGACAAAAAUAUUCCAUCUGCAACAAAGCCAAAGUUCUCGGAUAGAGGGUCUCACCAUGUCAGCAUGUGGAACAUGUACCAGAGAACUCCAAGAAUGAGGAUGUGCCUAAUACCAUGUUGCAUAUUUACAGGUAAGCCUAACAUGGCUAAUGGGGAACAUCUAAGUUCUCUGAGUAAAGGGAACUUUUUAUGUAAAGGGCCAGAUAGAAUGCAUUUUAUA
rnacentral:lncRNA from 1 species